GAUGAACGCUGGCGGCGUGCCUAACACAUGCAAGUCGAGCGAUUCUCUUCGGAGAAGAGCGGCGGACGGGUGAGUAACGCGUGGGUAACCUGCCCUGUACACACGGAUAACAUACCGAAAGGUAUGCUAAUACGAGAUAAUAUGCUUUUAUCGCAUGGUAGAAGUAUCAAAGCUCCGGCGGUACAGGAUGGACCCGCGUCUGAUUAGCUAGUUGGUAAGGUAACGGCUUACCAAGGCGACGAUCAGUAGCCGACCUGAGAGGGUGAUCGGCCACAUUGGAACUGAGACACGGUCCAAACUCCUACGGGAGGCAGCAGUGGGGAAUAUUGCACAAUGGGCGAAAGCCUGAUGCAGCAACGCCGCGUGAGCGAUGAAGGCCUUCGGGUCGUAAAGCUCUGUCCUCAAGGAAGAUAAUGACGGUACUUGAGGAGGAAGCCCCGGCUAACUACGUG
rnacentral:rRNA from 1 species